AGCUCCAAUAGCGUAUAUUAAAGUUGCUGCAGUUAAAAAGCUCGUAGUUGCAUUUCCGAGGCAAGGGAUUAGUCCGACCUUUGGUGGGAAUUUAAUCCUCUUGCCUCGUCCUUGAGUGGUGCUUCUUGGUAUUAAGUUAUCGAGGAGAUAGCCGCUCAUCGUUUACUGUGAGAAAAUUAGAGUGUUCAAAGCAGGCUUAUGCCGUUGAAUAUAUUAGCAUGGAAUAAUAAGAUAGGACCUCGGUACUAUUUUGUUUGUUUGAGAACCAAGGUAAUGAUGAAUAGGGACAGUUGGGGGUAUUCGUAUUCAGUUGUCAGAGGUGAAAUUCUUAGAUUUACGGAAGACGAACUACUGCGAAAGCAUUUACCAAGGAUGUUUUCA
rnacentral:rRNA from 1 species